rnacentral:lncRNA from 1 species
UUUAGAUUAGUACUAAAUUAAUAGUUAGUUGUUAAGUGGCCUGGUGGAGAGGGGGUAGUUCCAUAGUCUUAGGGGGAGUGGGUUCGAUACUCAUACGUAGCUUUUUUUUAGUAUUUCAUUUUUUUCUUUAGUUUUUUAGUAUUUCAUUUUCUUUUAGCUUCUAAUUUUUAUUAUUUUUAUUGUCUCUUAGUAUUUUGUUUCUUGUAAUAUUUUUGUAUGUCCAUGUUUCUUUACUAAUUUCAUCAUACAUGCAAAACCAUUUUUAAAACAAAAAAAA